rnacentral:rRNA from 1 species
CCAGACUCCUACGGGAGGCAGCAGUGAGGAAUAUUGGUCAAUGGGCGAGAGCCUGAACCAGCCAAGUCGCGUGAGGGAAGACGGCCCUACGGGUUGUAAACCUCUUUUGUCAGGGAGCAAGAACAGAUACGUGUAUCUGAGCGAGAGUACCUGAAGAAAAAGCAUCGGCUAACUCCGUGCCAGCAGCCGCGGUAAUACGGAGGGUGCGAGCGUUAAUCGGAAUUACUGGGCGUAAAGCGCUCGUAGGCGGUAUGUCAAGUCAAGGGUGAAAUCCCCGCGCUCAACGUGGGAACUGCCUUUGAAACUGGCAAACUGGAGUGUGUGAGAGGAUAGUGGAAUUCCAGGUGUAGGAGUGAAAUCCGUAGAUAUCUGGAGGAACAUCAGUGGCGAAGGCGACUAUCUGGCACAUAACUGACGCUGAGGAGCGAAAGCGUGGGUAGCAAACAGGAUUAGAUACCCCAGUAUUC